GACGAACGCUGGCGGCGUGCUUAACACAUGCAAGUCGAACGGAAAGGCCCUGCUUUUGUGGGGUGCUCGAGUGGCGAACGGGUGAGUAACACGUGAGUAACCUGCCCUUGACUUUGGGAUAACUUCAGGAAACUGGGGCUAAUACCGGAUAGGAGCUCCUGCUGCAUGGUGGGGGUUGGAAAGUUUCGGCGGUUGGGGAUGGACUCGCGGCUUAUCGGCUUGUUGGUGGGGGAGUGGCUUACCAAGGCUUUGACGGGUAGCCGGCCUGAGAGGGUGGCCGGCCACAUUGCGACUGAGGUACGGACCAGACUCCUACGGGAGGCAGCAGUGGGGAAUAUUGCACAAUGGGCGGAAGCCUGAUGCAGAAACGCCGCGUGCGGGAUGACGGCCUUCGGGUUGUAAACCGCUUUCGCCUGUGACGAAGCGUGAGUGACGGUAAUGGGUAAAGAAGCACCGGCUAACUACGUG
rnacentral:rRNA from 1 species